UGAAGGGUAGUUUAAUUAGAAUGUAGGAUUGUCAAUCUUGUAGUGUUAUUUUGGUAACCCCUUUAG
rnacentral:tRNA from 1 species